AGGACGAACGCUGGCGGCGUGCUUAACACAUGCAAGUCGAGCGGAAAGGCCCUUCGGGGUACUCGAGCGGCGAACGGGUGAGUAACACGUGAGCAACCUGCCCUUAGCUCUGGGAUAGCUCCGGGAAACCGGAAUUAAUACCGGAUACGACCUAGGCCGACAUCGGCCAUGGUGGAAAGUUUUUUCGGCUAGGGAUGGACUCGCGGCCUAUCAGCUAGUUGGUGGGGUAAAGGCCUACAAGGCGACGACGGGUAG
rnacentral:rRNA from 1 species